rnacentral:tRNA from 1 species
GGCCCGGUGGUGUAGCGGUUAACAUAUUGGCCUGUCAAGCCAAAGAUCGUCGGUUCGAAUCCGAUCCGGGUCGCCA